AAUAUAAUAGAAAGCAUACUGUAGACAGUAGGUGCCUCAAGGCGUAACGGAAAUCCAACCUACCGAGGUUUUAGAUAGUUAUCUAUAAGACCUUUCUGUGUCUACAGGAGGUCUUUUGUUAUGCGUUG
rfam:Caloramator quimbayensis strain TSBA 833 genome assembly, contig: Ga0105845_140